rnacentral:piRNA from 1 species
UCUGUCUGGUGUUAUUUCGCCGAUUUUGU